UCAGCUAUGCUCUCUAGUUGUUCUUGUCACCCAUUUCUUCCCACGCGUAAGUUUUUCGUCGUAUGAACUCGACAUUCAGUUUUAAGCCUAUGUCAUCCUAAGGUAUUGCUAAGUGAAUAGAUCUCACGGACGUCCAUGAAUGAUAAAAUCAUAGAUCGAAUAGCCAAACUGACAAAGUUGGAUGCUAUCAAAAAGCUUUAUGAGUUGUGUAGAUAAGCAGACUCAAACAACUGACAUCCACUGCAUGGUAAACUACUGCCUCUCAGGUUACCUUUUUCUUUUGUUUGUAUUCAGAUUGAAAAAGUAGUGAGAAUGAGAAGUGUUAACUGUUAAAGUUUUUUUUUUUUUUUUUUUUAAUGAGAAGUGUUAACUGUUAAAUUUUUUUUUUUUUUUUUUUGAAUCAUCCUGACCUUAAAGCUAUCUUUUCGUAGGACCUCCCAUACAAUAUAGUCACUGCAAUAGAACUUAACCACCAAUUUGGGUGGAUUAGUGUGGUUCAUCCACGCGUAAGACACCAAAACAUCAAACCAUGAAAGUGCUCAAACUGUACAACAAAAGCAAUCACCAGUGUUACUCUACAAGCACAUCUCCAAAUGCUGUCUUCAGCAACCACCUGGCAUAUGUACUUCAUAGUUAUUGGUCAUCUACUUUCCAAAUUCCUAGUAUUAUUCAUCCGAGUUUCCACUAUAAAGUGUUCUGUCGAGGCACUUUUAGAUAUGCAGAGUGACACAUUUUGUUGCAAAUGUCACACUUCACUGAAUUUUUUAAUCAUCUGAAGAGCACAAAGUACUAUAACAUAGUUUAUGGGUAAUCUAAG
rnacentral:lncRNA from 1 species